rnacentral:lncRNA from 1 species
CUUCAAGAUAAGAGUUGCAGAAAGUGGGUGGUAGUAUAAAUCAAGAUUGGUUAUGAGUUGAGAAUUUUUGAGUAAUAGGUAUAUGGGGACUAAGUAUUCUAUUCUUCAUACUUUUACAUGCCGUAAAUCCCCACUUAUCUGCAGGGAAUGUGUUCCAAGACCCCCAGUGGAUGCCUGAAACUGAGAAUAGUACUGGACCCUGUAUAUACUGUGUUUUUUCUUUCCUUAUUGAGAACUUUUAUGUUUUCACUUAAAGGAAGGACUUUACAGCUUCUCUUUCGCAUAUCCAAAUUGCCAGCAUCACCGCUCUUGCACUCCAAGCCAUUAUUAAGUAAAGUAAAGAACACAAACACUGUGAUACUGCUACACUUGAUCUGAUAACCAAGAAGUCUACUAAGUGACUAACAGAAGAGAAGACAUGGAGAAGAGGAGGGAGUAGUUGUGACCGUGGAGGCAGAGAAUGGAGUAAUGUGAUCAUAAAUCAAGGAAUGCUGACAGCCACUAAAGCUGGAGAAGGCCAAGGACAGAUAUUCAAUCCUCCCGUAGAAGUACAGCCCUGCUAAUGCAUUGAUUUUGGACUUCUGGCCUCAGAACUAUUUAUAUAUCAGCUUUUUAUCAGUUGAAAUAAACCACCCUGGGCCGGGUGCAGUGGCUCACACCUGUAAUCCCAGCACUUUGGGAGGCCG